GACGAACGCUGGCGGCGCGCCUAACACAUGCGAGUCGAACGAGCGAGCGAGAGCUUGCUUUCUCAAGCGAGUGGCGAACGGGUGAGUAACGCGUGAGGAACCUGCCUCAAAGAGGGGGACAACAGUUGGAAACGACUGCUAAUACCGCAUAAGCCCACAGGUCGGCAUCGACCAGAGGGAAAAGGAGCAAUCCGCUUUGAGAUGGCCUCGCGUCCGAUUAGCUAGUUGGUGAGGUAACGGCCCACCAAGGCAACGAUCGGUAGCCGGACUGAGAGGUUGAACGGCCACAUUGGGGCUGAGACACGGCCCAGACUCCUACGGGAGGCAGCAGUGGGGAAUAUUGCACAAUGGGGGCAACCCUGAUGCAGCGACGCCGCGUGGAGGAAGAAGGUCUUCGGAUUGUAAACUCCUGUUGUUGAGGAAGAUAAUGACGGUACUCAACAAGGAAGUGACGGCUAACUACGUG
rnacentral:rRNA from 1 species